UGCAGACUCUGGGUACAGAUUUGCUUUGACGUGGUGCCAAAAUCCCAGUUCUGCUUCUCAACAGGGAACUCACCUACUUACGCUUCAUGUUCCUUAUCUAUAAAAUAGUAGUAACAAUAAGAACUGCUUCCAUAGGGUUGUUAAGUGAGUUAAAAUAUGUCAAGCACUUUGGAUUGGUAUCUGGACAUGUUAGAUGCUGUGUACAUGUUUGCUGCUAGUAAAAGAAUAAUAUUAUUGGGACUUGCCUGGUGGUCCAGUGGUUAAGACUACACGCUUCCGCUGCAGGAGAUGCAGGUUCUAUCCCUGAGGAUCUUACAUGGCUUGUUUCUUUAGCUGCUACAAAAGCUUCUAAUGUGCCUACAUGCCUGCUCAGUGGGGUCCAACUCUUUGUGACCCCAUGGACUGUAGCCUGCCAGGCUCCUCUGUCCGUGUGGUUUCCCAGGCAAGAAUACUGAGUGGGUUGCCAUUUCCUCCUCCAGGGGAUCUUCCCCACCUAGGGAUCAAACCCGAGUCUUCUGUAUCUCCUGCAUUGGCAGGUGGCUUCUUUACAAUACCUUCUUACACGGGUUCUCAUUUUUCUGCCCUUAUUCUCUGUCUGCGCAGGGCUUGGCUUUAUUUCCUCUUCUCCCUCAGCCAGGAGAGUGGCUUUCAGAUACACAUCUCUAAUCUUUUAUCUCCUAUCUGGAGAUUACCUGUCACCCACCAGCUAAUCUCCUGCAGAUGUCUUCUACCUACUCAUCUGUUUUAUUUCACAUUUUUCUUGCACUCUGUGGUUGAUUUCUUGUCUAGUCUUUAAAAGUUAUAUUUGACUGUUCAUCAGCCCUCACGUUUUAAAAGUUAUGUUGUUUCUACUUGGGAGAUAUUUCAGUCUCGAACCUUCCUUGCUGACGUCACACUUUGGACAUGGUCAGAGUCUACUGUGAAUUUCCUAGCUGCCUCUUGCCUUAGAUCUUCUUCAGAAUGCUCUGCCUGUAGCAGAUGAUUAUCUUCAGCUGGUGUUCACUCUUAGAACUCUGAAAUGACCAAACUGUUCUCCCAUAUAGUAAUAUCUUUUGGAAUUGAUACUGCAAGUGAGAACAGAGUAAAUCUCACACUCUAUCUUCUGGGUGCUGACUCUUGAUUGCUUGCGUAAGUCAGGUACAGCUAAAGAGAUGUCAAGGAGAUUGGCCUUCUAGUACCUGUAGCGUGCGUGAAUGCUUGCCUGCUCAGCAGUAUCUGACUCUUUGUGACCUCAUAGACUGUAGCCUGCCAGAGUCCUCUGUCCAUGGGAUUUUUCAAGCAAGAAUACUGGAGUGGGUUGCUAUUUCCUCCUCCAGGGGAUCUUCCCAACUCAGGGAUUGAACACGAUUCUUGGAUUCUUUAUACCACUAGUCACUGGGGAAGCCCUCUCUAGUUGCUGUUGGCCUGGCAAAUAACUUCUACACUUUGAAGAGAUAUCGCCAGCCCAGGAUCUGACUUUCAGUGUGGCAGGGCCUCAAGUUUUAAUUUUUGUCCUUCUAGCUUUGAAGAGAUUUUUAGAGAUGUACUCCUUGUUAGUUAAACUCUCAAGAAUGCCAGUUUUCUUUUUCUGUAUUUGCGCCGGGUCUUUCUUGCAGCUGCUGGAUCUUCAUUGCAGUAGGCGGGCUCUUCUUCAGUUGCAGCAUAGGUUUCUGUUAUUGUGGAGUAUGGGCCCUCGUGGGCACCUGUUAGGUAGUUGCGAUGCACAGGCUUAGAAUUAAUUAAAUUCUCCAUUAAUUUAGAGUUAAUUAAAUUCUUAGUUCCCCAACCAGGGAUCAAACCUGAGGCCCCUGCAUUGGAUGGUGAAUUUGAACCACUGGACCACCGGGGGAGUCCCACCAGAUUUCUAAUUUUAGUGGAAGAUAUACCAGUUAGCUUGGAAACCAGGUAGAUGGCAGCAUAAAGAACCAUCCUCUUUGCUAAGACCAAAGUUUAUUAGGUCAGACAGAUGCUUGGCAUAUAUGUAGUUAGAAUGGGGAUUCAUUUUGUGAGCCAUCUCUGAUUUGGUGGUAGCUGCCUGGAGUUCCUGUGUUUGGGUACAGCUGGGCGCCUCAGGGAAGAGCUAUGAUCCAGUAGCAGGUUUGCUUUGGGCACAGGAGAGGGAGAUGGUAACCCGGAGCUUUGUAUUGUCCAACCAGAACAGCACUGUUGGAAGUUGACAGUCGCUCAGUCGUGUCUAGCUCUUUGUGAUCCCAGGGACUGUAGCCCUCCAAGUUCCUCUGUCCAUGGAAUCCCCCGGGCAAGAACACUGGAGUGGGUAGCCAUUCCCUUCUCUAGGGGAUCUUCCUGACCCAGAUUUUGAACCCUGGUCUCCUGCAUUACAGGUAGAUCCUUUACUGUCUGAGCCAUCAGGGCAGCCCAGGACUGUAUUUGGUGUUUGAAAGACAUUUGUUAGGCAGAGUCCCAGGUGGCCCUGUGGUAAAGAAUCUGUCUGCCAAUACAGAAGACUUGAGAAGCUUGGGUUCAAUUCCUUGGUUUGGAAGGUUCCCUGGAGUAGAAAAUGGCAACCCAUUCCAGUAUUCUUGCCUGGAAAAUUCCAUGGAGAGAGGAGCCUGGCUGGCUGUAUAUGCAGUUCUUGGGGUCCUAAAGAGUUGAACAUGCGACAGCACACACACAGCCCCAAGAAUAUUGUUUGCAGUCUUAAAAAACAUAUAUAUUUAUUUAAUCUAAUUAAUUUUUAAAAAUAUUUAUUUGGCUGCCGAGGGGUCUUAGCUGUGGCAUGUGAGAUCUUUGUUUUUUGCUGCAGCAUGUGGGAUCUUUUAUUAAUAGUUGCGGCAUGCGACCUCUUAGUUGCUGCAUGUGGGAUGUAGUUCCCCAACCAGGGAUUGAACCUAGGCCCCCUGCAUUGGGAGCAAGCAGUCUUGACCACCAGGGAAGUCCCUCUUUGGACUGUUUAAUUAGAAUUGGAUAUUUCUCAGGUUUCCUUGGUUACAGUUUACAUACCAUUUUAAAAGGUUGUUUAGUUUUACACAUUAUGUGUUUACUUUGAUAAGCUUUUUUCGGUGACCAUAAACUCAAAUUCUGGAAGUUGCAGUGUGAGGGGGUGAUCUUCAGAAUAGCUGACUAUGAAAACGACUAAUUGUCAAAUAACUCAGCCAGCUGAGGACUCUUCUUAGCUCUCCAGUUCAGCAUGGAAACUGGAAGUUGAAUUGUCUAGCUGACAGUGCCACGUUUUUGCAAACUUUUGGCCCAAGCUUGAAAAAUUAGGCUUGCCCAUUUCUUUACUGUGAGUUGUGGACAGCUACUUAUUUUCUUUCAAGAGGAUUUUGAAAUUAAGUGAAAUGACAACCUGAUGGAAAGUUGUCAGGACUUUCCUGGUGGUCCAGUGGCUAAGACUGCCUGCUCCCAAUGCAGGGGGCCUAGGUUUGACCCCUGGUCAGAGAACUAGAUUCCAUGUGCCGCAACGAAGACCAAACACAGCUAAAUAAAUAAAUAAUCAUUAAAAGCAAAAACAAAAAACGUGCUCGUCUUGAACACAGUAACUGUGUUUUGGAGGAGAGACUUUGGAGCUAGUAUUUCAGGGGAGGGUCUUUGUUCUAAACCUCGUGUGAUGACAGAACAUGGAGUUUUUUGGAACACAUCAUGCUAUUGGAGCAGUGUACCCAUAUUAGUUUGUUGCCCUGACAGAGGCCCAUAAACUCGGUAGCUUAAACCAUGGAAAUUUAUUCCCUCACAGUUCUGGAAGCUGGAAGUCCAAGAUCAAGGUGUCAGGAGAUUUGAUUUCUUCUGAGGCCUCUCUUGGCUUGUAGAUGGUGCCAUCUUGUAGGUAGUGACCUGGAUGGUCUGUCUUGUGUAUACGUGUCCCUAGCUCUCCCUGUUCUUAUAAGGAUACCAGUCACACUGGAUUAGGGCUUCACCCUAAGGGCUUCUUUUUAACUUAGUCACCUCUUUAAAAACUCAGUUUUCAAAUACAGCCACAUUCUGAGGUACUGGGGGUUAGGGCUUUCACACAUGAAUUUUUGGGGGGAGGAUAGGGGUACAGUUCCGCUCAUAACAGCCAUGCGAUACCGAUAUUUUCCAUCCCGUCAGCAUGAACUGAUUGUCCUAGUCUAAGGUAAUUCCCACUUAUAUCAUACUCACAAGCACAUGCUCACAUUAAAAAAGAGCUCCAAGAUGAGGAUGAAUGUUUAUUUACAAAAUUUUAUCUUAAUCAUAUCUUUAGUCUACUUAUAACCAAUAAUAGGUACCAACACUGUAAAGUGAAAAACUCUUCCCCACUGGCUUCGCAGUUAAGAACCCACGUGUUGUGCAGGAGACAUUGGAGACGUGGGUUCGAUCUCCGGGUUGGGAAGAACCCUGGAGGCGGGCGUGGCCACCUACUCUAGGAUUCUUACCUGGGAAGUCCCAUGGACAGAGGAGCUUGAUGGGCUCCAGUCUGUGAGGUCACCAUGCAUUGGAUGUGACUGAGCCCGUGCGUGCACACCCACAUGAAAAUAAACCUUCACCUCUCCUGAGACGAGAUGGAAGGCAUAAAAGUCCAGGAUUUGAGAAUUCCUGCCUGGGAUCAGCAAGGAGGAGAAAAGGACGCAACCAAAUUAAGACUCUGAGCCUGUUAUCAUUUGUGACUUGCCAUUUGAAGCCGGGAAGAUUAGGCAUCUAUAUAUAGGCUGUUUUCUAAGCACAAAUGGCAUGUUCCUGCUUUGCUGUUUGGGCAGUGGUGCAGGGGUCCUGAUACAGUCAGGUUAUGUCCUGCUUCUUGACCUUCAUGUGCAUGUUUUAGGUCGUUUAUUCUCUAGCACUUAUUUUCUUAUUUAUUAAAAAAAAUUAACAACAAAAAAAACCUUUUAUCUUUCUGCUUAACACCUUCAAGCCCUGCAAUAACUGAAGUGUGUUCUUUUGUUUGUUUGUAUCUUGGAAGGGGCUUGUGCUGGGUCUUUGUUGAGGCGCACAGGCUUCUCUUGUUGCCUGUGGGCUCAGUAGUUGCAGCGCUCGAGCUCUCUAGCAUGCAGGCAGAGUUACCCUGCAGCAUGUGGGAUCUUAGCUCCCCAACCAGGGGUUGAGUCUCCUGCACUGGAAGGCGAACUCUUAACCACCAGACGACCAGGAAAGUCCCAAUGACUGAGGUUUUCGCCUUGACAAGCUUAAUAAAUCCUGUCUUUUUGCCCCUUCAAAGGUACUGAACUCUUAAUUAUAAUUAUUAGUGACCUUUACUUCUUGUUUUGCUCUUCUCCUACCUCCCUGAGUCAGUUGAGGCACUGUUAGCUUCUAGAAUUGUAAUCAUCUAGAUGAUAUUUUAAUUGAUCCUUUCUCAACUGAAGAUGGUAGCCAUUGGGUUUUCUGGAGUGGUGUCAGAAGAGUUCACUUGCCGAUCUUGAACUGUGAUGUUAAUAGUAGAUAAUUUGGGA